rnacentral:lncRNA from 1 species
GUUAUCAUUUCUUCAAAAUAAUUAUGUUUUCUUAUCGAUUACCAUAUAAUUGAACGUCAUUCGAGCGUUCGUUGCACAUUAAAAAAAGCGGAAUGAAAACCUUUACUGUCCUUAUCGAAAGAUAUUUUGGAAUUUCAUCUUAGAUAAAUGUUAUAAAUGAUAAUCGUUAGAAUGAAACCGCGAUUGCCUAAUUUAAAGCAAGC